AAAUAAUUAGUGUAAUAGCAUAAAGAAUUUUCAAUUCUUAGGAUAUUAUUUA
rnacentral:tRNA from 1 species